ensembl:lncRNA
CCAAUGCGCCGCCUGGAUGCAGGUGAAAGCAAAGCAGAUGCCCAAACAAGGCCUCCGCCUCCUGUGCACAGGGUCCAAGGCACGGGGCACACAGCUCUGUCCCCUGGGCCCAGUGAGGAUCUGUUUUCACAGGGAUUACUCGCGCUCUGCCAUGCGGUUUUCACCCAAGUGGCCUACCAUGCCUCCUCCAGAUCUCCUCGGCAGGGGUCAGCAGCCCGUGGACUGAGCCGACGAAAGCAAGUGUCUGAGUGGUCCUGACGCAGGGCACGCUGCUGUCCCUGCAGGCUGGGGACCCAAUCCAGGGUCCCGUCCAGAGGUGGGGUGCCGAAUCGCCGCACGUGCAGAAGCCACCCUCCUGGACAUGGCCCAUCGGUCCUCACACUGCUCGCUCC